rnacentral:tRNA from 1 species
CUUUAGAUGGCUGAGAAUAUAAGCGUUGAUCUUUUAAAUCAAUUUACGGUUUUUAACCUCUAAAGA